CUACCUUUUGCAUGUUAUUAGUCUUUAUUCUUUGGUGCAAUACUAUCUAUAGUAUAAAGAAUUAAGCUUAACUCUCUUUGAAAACCCUAGAGCAAGAAAAAA